GAUGAAGACCGUAGCAAAUUGCGAUAAGUGGUGUGAUAUGCGAGUCCAAAACUUAUACGUGAACCAUCGAAUUGUUGAACGCAUUGCAUCGAGCUUUGCAAAAGCACGAUAUGCCCCAUUGAGCGUCAUUAAGUCUUUGGACCCAGUCCAAGUUCGGGAUUCAUGGUCUCCUCGGAGAUCACGCUUCCUUGGAUGCAUUGACACCGCAUUAGGGAUGGUGCGCACCUUGUCGUGAACUUCAAGGUGCCCGUCCCCGUCGGUGUGCGAUCUCGUGCUUGACGGCGCAGAUCAAACCCACCGCGUCUCGCGCGGCUUUCUGACAUGACCUCACGGGGGUAAGACGACCCGCUAGACUUAAGCAUAUUAAUCAGCGGAGGAAAAGAAACUAACAAGGAUUCCCCUAGUAACUGCGAGUGAAGAGGGAAGAGCUCAACGUGUGAAUCUGACGGGGAGUAACACCCCGUUCGAGUUGUGCACUAUUGACUCUGGAUCAGCGUUUGGAAGUUUGCGGCGGAUGUCCAAUGAAACAUGGCACCACAGCGGGUCACAGUCCUGUACACGCCCAUCAAACAUCUACGCAUAUGACCAGUGUUCAUCGAGUCGUGUAGUUUUGUAUUGCUGCACUAAUUGGGAGGUAGAGCCCUUCUAAAGCUAAAUAUUAUGGCAUGACCGAUAGCAAACAAGUACCGUGAGGGAAAGGUGAAAAGCAACCAUGCAGAAUGGGUUGAAACAGUAGUGAAAGUGCUACCGGGAUAAGGGCUAUUGAUUACAAGUGUGGACCGCAUGUGCUUCAGUGCUAUGCUAACCGCCGUCGUGCAUCGAUUAGGGACCGGGGAGAACAGGGUCGGUGGGGAUUCGGCUCGAUCUCGAGUGUUGUAACCCGCCGGCCAGUUGAGCCCCCCUUGAUCGGAUAACAGGUGCAUUGGUUGUGAUCAUUAGCCGCCCGUCUUGAAACACGG
rnacentral:rRNA from 1 species